AAACUUUCAACAACGGAUCUCUUGGCUCUAGCAUCGAUGAAGAACGCAGCGAAAUGCGAUAAGUAAUGUGAAUUGCAAAAUUCAGUGAAUCAUCGAAUCUUUGAACGCACAUUGCGCCUGGCAGUAUUUUGCCAGGCAUGCCUGUCCGAGCGUCAUUU
rnacentral:rRNA from 1 species